rnacentral:tRNA from 1 species
GCUCGGGUGGUGGAAUUGGUAGACACGCAGGACUUAAAAUCCUGUGGCCGUUAAGGCCGUGCGGGUUCAAGUCCCGCCCCGAGUA